UAUAACUGCUGAAGACACUCAUCUGUGCCUCCGCAUUUAGAUUAAAAGACUGGUUGCCCACUGAAGCUAAGCAGGGCUGAGCCUGGUCAGUACCUGGAUGGGAGACCUCCUGGGAAAUCUAGGUUGCUGUUGGAA
rnacentral:rRNA from 1 species